rnacentral:rRNA from 1 species
AUUGAACGCUGGCGGCAUGCCUUACACAUGCAAGUCGAACGGCAGCAUGAUCUAGCUUGCUAGAUUGAUGGCGAGUGGCGAACGGGUGAGUAAUACAUCGGAACGUGCCCUGUAGUGGGGGAUAACUAGUCGAAAGAUUAGCUAAUACCGCAUACGACCUGAGGGUGAAAGUGGGGGACCGCAAGGCCUCAUGCUAUAGGAGCGGCCGAUGUCUGAUUAGCUAGUUGGUGAGGUAAAGGCUCACCAAGGCGACGAUCAGUAGCUGGUCUGAGAGGACGAUCAGCCACACUGGGACUGAGACACGGCCCAGACUCCUACGGGAGGCAGCAGUGGGGAAUUUUGGACGAUGGGCGAAAGCCUGAUCCAGCAAUGCCGCGUAUGUGAAGAAGGCCUUCGGGUUGUAAAGCACUGUUGUCCGGAAAGAAAUGGCUCUGGUUAAUACCUAGGGUCGAUGACGGUACCGGAAGAAUAAGGACCGGCUAACUACGUG